rnacentral:rRNA from 1 species
UGGGGAAUCUUCCGCAAUGGACGAAAGUCUGACGGAGCAACGCCGCGUGAGUGAAGAAGGUUUUCGGAUCGUAAAACUCUGUCUUUUGGGGCGAACGUGAGUAUGGUGAACAAUCAUAGUCAGUGACGGUACCAAAGGAGGAAGCCACGGCUAACUACGUGCCAGCAGCCGCGGUAAUACGUAGGUGGCAAGCGUUGUCCGGAAUUAUUGGGCGUAAAGAGCGCGUAGGCGGGAUAGUCAGUCUGUUGUAAAGUGCGGGGCUCAACCCCGUGAUGGCAAUGGAAACAGCUAUUCUUGAGUGCAGGAGAGGAAAGUGGAAUUCCCAGUGUAGCGGUGAAAUGCGUAGAUAUUGGAAGGAACACCAGUGGCGAAGGCGACUUUCUGGACUGUGUCUGACGCUGAGGCGCGAAAGCCAGGGGAGCGAACGGGAUUAGAUGCCCCCGGUAGUCCUGGCCGUAAACGAUGGGUACUAGGUGUGGGGGGUAUCGACCCCUUCCGUGCCGGAGUUAACGCAAUAAGUACCCCGCCUGGGGAGUACGGUCGCAAGACUGAAACUCAAAUGAAUUGACGGGGUCAUAGCUGUUUCCUG